rnacentral:pre_miRNA from 1 species
GUACUACUAGGAGUUCCCUUCAAGCACUUUAUGAAGCACCUUUUUGAGAGGUUAUGUGAAGUGUUUGGGGGAACUCUCAGUGUGAU